rnacentral:rRNA from 1 species
UAGGGAAUCUUCGGCAAUGGACGGAAGUCUGACCGAGCAACGCCGCGUGAGUGAAGAAGGUUUUCGGAUCGUAAAGCUCUGUUGUAAGAGAAGAACGAGUGUGAGAGUGGAAAGUUCACACUGUGACGGUAUCUUACCAGAAAGGGACGGCUAACUACGUGCCAGCAGCCGCGGUAAUACGUAGGUCCCGAGCGUUGUCCGGAUUUAUUGGGCGUAAAGCGAGCGCAGGCGGUUAGAUAAGUCUGAAGUUAAAGGCUGUGGCUUAACCAUAGUAGGCUUUGGAAACUGUUUAACUUGAGUGCAAGAGGGGAGAGUGGAAUUCCAUGUGUAGCGGUGAAAUGCGUAGAUAUAUGGAGGAACACCGGUGGCGAAAGCGGCUCUCUGGCUUGUAACUGACGUUGAGGCUCGAAAGCGUGGGGAGCAAACAGGAUUAGAUACCCUGGUAGUCCACGCUGUAAACGAUGAGUGCUAGGUGUUAGACCCUUUCCGGGGUUUAGUGCCGUAGCUAACGCAUUAAGCACUCCGCCUGGGGAGUACGACCGCAAGGUUG